rnacentral:misc_RNA from 1 species
CAUGGCCCUGCUGGCCCCCUGGCUCCGCCCCUGCGCACGCAACGAGGGGAGCAGGAGCAGGGACACGACAGCAGGGAGGAGCAGGAAGGUUGGGCGACCAAGCGCCGUCUCCUGCGGCGAGCACCGACGAGCAGCAGGGCAUGGCCAUGGAUGGAGGAGCUGGAGCGCCGGCAGAGGGCAGAGAUGGAGCAGGGAACUUGGCCAGGAAAGGGACUCGGAACCGGGCGCGGUGGCUGGACACAGGGCGAGCCAUGGAGAUGGGCGCCGAGCUCCAUGGAUGCAGGGAGGAGGGAGGAGCUCGCAGGCUGGCUGGGGAUGGAGGAGGAGAAAUCCACGCGCGCCAUAGAAGGGCUUCGACAGGGACAGGGCACUGCUGGGAAAUGGAGGGAGAGAAGCAAGGGGGCAGCUAGGCUCUUGGUCGACCGGAGUUGGAGGAAGAAGCCGCGGCCUGAACGCCGGCGAGCCAGGCGCGGCCAUGGCUGGGGAAGAGGAACAGCAGGCGAUUUGGAGCGCGGCGUGCUUGAAGAUGGAGCAGAGGAAGCAGUGCAGAGAAGGAACGCGGGGCGUAGGAAGAGAGAAACGGGCGUGGAGGAGCUGCGCGACGACGAUGACGACGACCGACGGCAGCCGCGACCAGAUAAAGCUCCCGCGCGCGUAAGGGAUAAGGAAGAAGGAGACUUAGAGCGGUGGGAUUUUUCAGGCUGAAGGAAGCGGCAGAGAUAAGCCUCACGGUAAAGGAAAAAAAAUUAGGGAGACAGAGGACGACGCUAGAUUUUUCUUUUGGGAUUUUCUUUUCUCCUUUUUGUCCAUUUUUUUAUACCGAAAAUCAUAGAUAUUUAAGAUCCCAACCUUUCUUAGCGACGUAUACGGGGUAGACAGUAAUCGUGACAUGAUUUUAAAUUGGCGAAUAUCUUAGACUCAAAUGAAUUUACACCUGUUAUUUAUAUCCAAAGUUUUGGAUCGGGCGAGACGUCGUCAGAACAAAUCCGAAC